UGCCACUCAUUUGGGAGU
rnacentral:piRNA from 1 species